rnacentral:rRNA from 1 species
GGCAAGCGUUGUCCGGAUUUAUUGGGCGUAAGCGAGCGCAGCGGUUUCUUAAGUCUGAUGUGAAAGCCCCCGGCUCAACCGGGGAGGGUCAUUGGAAACUGGGAGACUUGAGUGCAGAAGAGGAGAGUGGAAUUCCAUGUGUAGCGGUGAAAUGCGUAGAUAUAUGGAGGAACACCAGUGGCGAAGGCGGCUCUCUGGUCUGUAACUGACGCUGAGGCUCGAAAGCGUGGGGAGCAAACAGGAUUAGAUACCCUGGUAGUCAAGGGCG